rnacentral:lncRNA from 1 species
AUGAACCAAGAAAAAAGCAAAGUUGCUAAGAGUGUAGCGGCUGUGGAAAAAAGAAAACAAGUACCACCACCUCACAUCUCAUGUUUCUACCGACUAAGAUAAUGUUUUUUUUUACAAUCCAACUAAGAUAAUGUUACAGGAGACAAUUUUUUUUACUUGCUUUUAAUUUAAGUUAGAUGUUCAUUUACAUAAAUUAGAUAUCAAAUGAUACCAACUAAUUUGACAUUAAAUAUUACACAUCUCAAUAAUGUUUUAACCGAUAUAAAUUUUAUAAAAUUCACCGUUGGAUUAAAAAUUUAUAUCAUAUGGAUAAUUUAUAUAAAACUUUAAACAAAUCUAAAAUCAUUUGAUAUCUUAUUAAGAUAUAUCAAAAUUAACGGUUUGCGUCUUUUUUAUAUGCCGUUAAUAUUUAUGUGUCGCAAUAGCAUAUCAAAUAAUUUUAAAUUUGUCUGAAAUUUUACACAAACGAUAGAUUUUAUAAAAUUUAUAUCAGUUAAAACAUUAUUGAGAAGUGUAACAUUUUGUGUCAAACUAGUUUCUGUUUUGAUCCUGACCCAAAGUAGUUUAUACUCCUGCAUUAAAAAUCGUCAUUUGUUCAUCAUUCAUUAAUUUAACACCCAUGCAUGUUUCAACAUGUUAAAGUUCUGCAAAAUUAGAUACGAAAAUUGAAUGUCAAUCACACUCCAUCCUUAAAAUUGUUUGGGUAUGCAUUCAAUGUAUUAAAAAUUAUUGAACUCAAAUGGUUAAUAAGCUUUAUCAAAUAACAGAUCGUUCGAGAUCAAAACCCAAGUUCAAUUCUUAAGUGAAACAAUUUUUUGACCGGACUUUACGUACCUCACGGCCGAACUUCG